AUGUCGCUAUCAACUGAACAGUUUAACUGUCUACUACAUACUCAAAACUUAAAUGAUAUGAACAUAAUUAUAACCAACAUAUUGAAGAUACCACUUCACAGUUCUUGUUUAAGUAAAAUAUGUAAGACGACAAAAUUAACCUUAAUAUUAAUCUGUAUAUGUAGCAACUUUUUAAAAUAUUUUAAAUUAGAUUCAUUUGCAUAUGAUAUAUAUAACAAAGUAAAUACAAACAAAUGGAUGAAAGCGCCUAUAAAGGGACAUAUGUUAGAGAGAAUAAGAGGGCCUCACUGUUUUUUUAUAUGCUUAGAUGAACUAAUAAUAACAGAAUUGGUUAAAUUCUUCAAUUAUUUUUGCAACAUUAAAUUGUUUAAUGUCAAAAAUGAUUCCCUCAGUAUAUUACUUACUCAAAAAUAUGAUAUAUUAGUAAUAAAUAUAAAUAAUUUGAACACCCCUCAAAUUAAUGCAUUAGUAGAAUUAAUGAAAAACGGAGUAUAUAAAAACAAGAAAUCAUCAUUUCCAAUAUCGACUACUUUUUGGGUAUAUGCCGUUAAACCAUACAUAAGAAGCGAACAAGAAUUCAACACUUAUAUAAAAGAUAAUUUGUUAGCUCGUUUUGAUUUUUUGUUUGAGCUUAGUUUUGAGAAAGAUGAUGAUGAUGAUGAUGUGAUCGAUGAAAUAUUAAGAAAUGCUGAUGAUGAUAAUGAUGGUGAUGAUAAUAAAAUAAAAAAUAAAGAUUUUUUUUUUGAAUUGAAUGAUAAAUAUGCUUACUUAAAGAAAGGUAAUUUAUAUAAUUAUGAAUUUGUUGAAAUGAGUAAUACAACAAAAUCUAUAAUUCAAAAGUAUUUUAAUAUGGCAUCCGAUUUAACAACUUUAACUAUGUAAGUAAUAUACAUAUGCGCCUGUACAUAUCUUGCUUAUUUUUGUACAUCCUAGGUGUUCGUUGUUUCAUUUUUAUUAGCUACUCAAUUGUU
rnacentral:lncRNA from 1 species